GACGAACCGUGCGAACGUUGUUCGGAAUCACUGGGCUUAAAGGGCGCGUAGGCGGGCUGACAAGUCUGGGGUGAAAUCCCGCGGCUCAACCGUGGAACUGCCUUAGAUACUGUCGGCCUCGAGGAAGGUAGGGGCAUGCGGAACUGUAGGUGGAGCGGUGAAAUGCGUUGAUAUCUACAGGAACGCCGGUGGCGAAAGCGGCGUGCUGGACCUUUUCUGACGCUGAGGCGCGAAAGCUAGGGGAGCAAACGGG
rnacentral:rRNA from 1 species